rnacentral:rRNA from 1 species
AUUGAACGCGGGCGGCAGGCCUAACACAUGCAAGUCGAACGAGUGGCGGACGGGUGAGUAAUGUCUGGGAAACUGCCUGAUGGCGGGGGAUAACUUCUGGAAACGGUAGCUAAUACCGCAUACAAUCGGAUGUGCCUAGAUGGGAUUAGCUAGUAGGUGGUGUAAAUGCUCACCUAGGCGACGAUCCCUAGCUGGUCUGAGCGGAGUACCAGCCGCACUGUAGCUGAGACACGGGCCGGACUCCGUCGGAAGGCAGCAGUGUGUAAUAUGCCACAAGUGGAGCAAGCCUGCUGCAGACAUCCCUCGUGUAGAGAGAGGGCCUGCGGGUUGUCAAGUACUUGCAGCGGGUAGGCGUUACCCUCAGAAGAAGCACCGGCUAACGCCGUGCCAGCAGCCGCGGUAAUAC